rnacentral:rRNA from 1 species
CUUGGUUCAGGAUGAACGCUAGCGACAGGCCUAACACAUGCAAGUCGAGGGGCAGCACAAGGAGCAAUCUGAGGUGGCGACCGGCGCACGGGUGAGUAACACGUAUGCAACCUGCCUGUAAGCGGGGAAUAACCCGUUGAAAGACGGACUAAUACCGCAUAAUACUAAAUUACUGCAUGGUAAUUUAUUUAAACAUUUAUGGCUUACAGAUGGGCAUGCGCAUGAUUAGCUAGUUGGAGAGGUAACGGCUCCCCAAGGCAACGAUCAUUAGGGGUUCUGAGAGGAAGGUCCCCCACACUGGUACUGAGACACGGACCAGACUCCUACGGGAGGCAGCAGUGAGGAAUAUUGGUCAAUGGACGAGAGUCUGAACCAGCCAAGUCGCGUGCAGGAAGAAUGUUCCCUAUGGAUUGUAAACUGCUUUUGCAGGGGAAUAAAGUGCAUCACGUGUGAUGUUUUGUAUGUACUCUGCGAAUAAGGAUCGGCUAACUCCGUGCCAGCCGCCGC